rnacentral:rRNA from 1 species
CGGGGGUACACGAGUGGCGAACGGGUGAGUAACACGUGGGUAAUCUGCCCUGCACUUCGGGAUAAGCCUGGGAAACCGGGUCUAAUACCGGAUAUGAGCUCCUGCCGCAUGGUGGGGGUUGGAAAGUUUUUCGGUGCAGGAUGAGUCCGCGGCCUAUCAGCUUGUUGGUGGGGUAAUGGCCUACCAAGGCGACGACGGGUAGCCGGCCUGAGAGGGUGAUCGGCCACACUGGGACUGAGACACGGCCCAGACUCCUACGGGAGGCAGCAGUGGGGAAUAUUGCACAAUGGGCGAAAGCCUGAUGCAGCGACGCCGCGUGGGGGAUGACGGUCUUCGGAUUGUAAACUCCUUUCAGUAGGGACGAAGCGAAAGUGACGGUACCUGCAGAAGAAGCACCGGCCAACUACGUGCCAGCAGCCGCGGUAAUACGUAGGGUGCAAGCGUUGUCCGGAAUUACUGGGCGUAAAGAGCUCGUAGGCGGUUUGUCACGUCGUCUGUGAAAUCCUCCAGCUCAACUGGGGGCGUGCAGGCGAUACGGGCAGACUUGAGUACUACAGGGGAGACUGGAAUUCCUGGUGUAGCGGUGAAAUGCGCA